CAGCACCUCAAGUGGUCAGGAUGAUUAUUGGGCCUAAAGCAUCCGUAGCCGGCUCUGUAAGUUCUCGGUUAAAUCUGUACGCUCAACGUACAGGCUGCCGGGAAUACUGCAGAGCUAGGGAGUGGGAGAGGUAGACGGUACUCGGUAGGAAGGGGUAAAAUCCUUUGAUCUAUUGAUGACCACCUGUGGCGAAGGCGGUCUACCAGAACACGUCCGACGGUGAGGGAUGAAAGCUGGGGGAGCAAACCGGAUUAGAUACCCGAGUAGUCC
rnacentral:rRNA from 1 species